rnacentral:rRNA from 1 species
CCCCGGUUAACGGGGGAGGAAGGUGGGGAUGACGUCAAGUCCUCACUGGCCCUUAUGGCCCAGGGCUACACACGUGCUACGAAUGGGCGGUACAAAGGGUAGCGAUGCCGCGAGGUGAAGCCCAAAUCCCAAAAAGCCGUCCACAGUUCGGAUUGGAGUCUGCAACUCGACUCCAUGAAGCCGGAAUCGCUAGUAAUCGUGGAUCAGCAUGCCACGGUGAAUACGUUCCCGGGCCUU